ACGUAGGACGCAAGCGUUAUCCGGAGUUACUGGGCGUAAAGGGCAGGCAGGCGGGCUGAUAAGUCGGAUGUGAAAUCUCCCUGGCUUAACCGGGAGGGUGCAUUUGAGACUGUCAGCCUGGAGGGCAGCAGAGGAGCGUGGAAUUCCGGGUGGAGUGGUGAAAUGCGUAGAUAUCGGAAGGAACAUCAGUGGCGAAAGCGACUUCCUGGACCAAUACUGACGCUCAUGUGCGAAAGCGUGGGGAGCAAACAGGA
rnacentral:rRNA from 1 species